CCUGUCUCUUUCUGCCUCGCUGUUGAACCGGAGUGGACACGUGCGUGCAUUUAGCAGGCAGGACGAUGUGCUUUCUUCGCCAUGCCCAGUUUCCGGACCUCGCGCUCCAGAUGGACUGGAUUCUGUGGAGUCUGCCUGAGGGAUGAACUGCCUGAAAUCAGCCGCUUUGACCAGAGGACCCCCCCCCCAACUUCCUGUUCAUAACUUGGACAAACGACUUUUGCCGUAGUUAUUGUCGAUAGUUUGCCCAGAGGUCCCAUCCAGAGUCCCGUCGCCCUGGUAACGGGAUGGAUGUGUUUGCUGAGGAUCACUGUGAUUUGGGGAAAUGCCCACUUUGCCAUAGUUUGCCCAGAGGUCCCAUCCAGAGUCCCGUCGCCACGGUAACAGGAUGUCUGAGAGUUUGCUGAGGAUCACUGUGAUUGGGGAAAUGCCCACUAACACGCCCCAUGGGCUACCGACUGCAUUCCACAGCAAAGAGGAGAGCAGCUGAUUGGGUAGACUGCAUUCUACAGCUGAUUGGGUAGAGACUGAAGUGGUUACAUGCAGGAAGCUGAUUGGCCGGUUGCGUUCUGACCCUUGUGAUGUAAUUGACAUAUGUAUGUCACUUUAGAUUAAAAGUGUGUGCUAAAUAGGUGUAUUAAAAGUGUGUGCUAAA